UGAAUAAAUUCCAUGUCACAAUUUGAUGUUAUUGUACACUAUCCAUCGAUUUAGGCAAAGGUAUUUCUAAACUUUUAUUUGUACAUUAAAUCCAGUGUAGUAAUUAAAUUCAAAAUCAAAAGCAGAGUAAUGAGUGAACAAAAAAUAAUCUUUCAUCAUCAAUUUGCAUGAGUGGUUUUCUUGCUGUUGCUUUUUAAUUAGAGACAUUUAUUUGUGGUAAUUUCUGGUUUUAUCUCUUACACUCCCCCCCCCCCCCCCCCACCCCCUUUCUUUUCUCUCUUGUGUGUGUGUGUGUGUGUACUGCCAGGACAAUUUGAUAGUGCUGGCAGACUGGUGGUGCUAUUCCAAGUGGGAUGUUGUCCUCUGAACAACCUCUGUAGUGACUCAGCACUUAAUCUGGAAGCUCUUCGGAUUUCACAAACUCUCUCUUGUUGACAGAAACGUCUACGGGGGGAAAAAACUAACAAAACCAAAACAAUGCCAAGCUUCGGGGAAGAGGUGAGCCAUGAUUGGUUGUUACCUGAGCCCUGAACAGCUGUGAUGUCAUUUUCAGUCGACAGCGUGUGGCAAAGUGGCAUGGCAAAAAAAAAAGGGUGGAUUUUGCUCCAUAACUCCCAUUCCGCAAACAAAAUCUUUUUCAGAAUGCCGUCUUCAGACUUUUGCAGGCGCAUAGAACAUAUUAUGAUACAGAGAAUUUGGGAGUUGACUUCCCAUUUUCAAUAGUUAUGCUUGCAGUAUCGCUUUUGCUCAUUUGCCAGAGUGUCUGCCAGCAUGCAGUCAUUACCUCGGAAACACAGUCUGCAUUUCCUGCACGGUGUAAACAACAUUCCACGUCUACUAUUAUCUCUUUGGGGGGGAUGCGAUGGGCUCUCUUCCUGCAGUAUCUCAAAGAGCCGGGCUAUGACAAGAUCAGUUCGGUGUGGGGCGGCAAAUCCAUCACUGGGAAAAUGAGGCUUGUCGUCUUUGAAGCUAAUCCGCAAAGACAAUUCUGUGUUCGUUUAAAGCAAAAAUCGGCAAAUGGAAAAUGAAUUACGUGAAAUCCAGACUUUGAAAUGUGGACGUUAUAGCUGUGAAAGCGUUGUCAACGACAUACGCUGAAAACAAGGUUCGGCUGUGAAUGAUGAGACCCCCCACCCCCCCCCCCCAAAAAAAAUUUUCCUUCGUGCUUUGUUUAGAAACUGUUGUUUUUGCUGAAACCAACCCGCGUCCUCGAGUGUUGAAAAGAACAUCAGGGUACUCUUUCUUUUGCUAGGUCCGGUGCUUAUUGGCAACAUGGCAACAAUUGAGUUAAUGUGCAAAAGCAACGUUUUUCAGUCGUACAUACGCAUGUCAUGUCAUGUGCCACUUUAAAAUUCUUGAACGAGAAUCAGAGCAACACAGAAUUUCCUAAGCAGCAGCAGCAGCAGCGGGGAAGCGCACUUUGCCUUUGGGCUAAAACAAUAAAAACAACUCUGCCUCUUUUUACAAUUUUGGCAUUGACGAAGAUUCAGAUUGAGGUCACUCGGAGUUUGAGCCGUUACACAAAGACAGAGGCUUUUGGCGAGCGUGCAUUUUGCUAGUUGGCUAACGCUCGGAGUGAGUCGAAAGGGCUGCAAGGACAACAGCCAAACAAAACUGGAACACGCUCAGGUUAAGAACGGUGAUAAAUUUAAUGCCGGGAUGACCUUGGGAUCGCCUUUAAAGAACACAAACAUGAGGAUUUGGUGAUUGCAGCAAUGUUUUUGCUUGUUUAUAUUUUUUUCAUGAGUAUUUCACAGUUUAUUAAGGAUGGUCUACAUCUGUUCAUUGGUACAUGAACUUUUCUGUUUCUUCCCAUCCACUGGUUUCCUCCUUACUAAAAAUGUCAAAACUUCAAGUCAACCAAAUACAUCGCUGCAAACCUUGUUCUCGUCCCCGAUCGGUCACAAGGCUGUCGACCAGGAAUGUCGGACACAUGGACUGACAAGCAAAACGGUGCUACUGAAGGCAACAUGGGAUCGACGGCUUAAUCAAAGAAGACAUGCUGCUAACAGAUGACAGCCUCAGUGCAAGUAUUGGGCAAGUCAACUGUCGCAUCUAUUUACAUGCUACAUGUAGUUAGCAUCAGGCUAUUUCAGGACAAAUUGAAUGUUUGGAAACACAGUCAAGUUUAAAUUACCCAACGAAUCGCACCACAAGUGUAAAGACCGACUCAAGCGUGUAAGCUCUUAAUUGUUUUUUUGUUUUUUUUUGUCUCUUCUUCGCUUAUUUGUGUGCCACAAGCUAGUGCCAUCUUUGAAUAAAAAUUGGCCCUAGGGAAGUACAGUACUGUUUGUUGUCAAGAUCCCUCUCAGUUGAGAGAUGAAUAUUUUGUUUUUCAGGGUGGAGCUAAGUUGAACCUGAGUUUUUAUCCAGUCUCUUUUUGAGGUCUCCCUUCUCCAACACACCUGAUUCAAAUAGAUCAGCUCAUCAGCAAGCUUUGUAGAUAGCCUGAUAAUGAUCAUGGUCAUUUAAAUCAGGUGUGUUGGAGGAGAGAGAUAGCUAAAAAUGGCUGGAUAGGGCCUCUUGAGGACCAGCCGUGGGCUUUUCUUGGUUCCCUGGGCGCGAUCCCCGUCCCACUGUAAUUUUGUUGGUGCUUGAUGGCGUCAUGAUAGCCAUGGUUGGCCGCUCCUGCCAACCAGAAAGGAGGCUUGAAUGAGCAGCAGCACUAGCAUGAGACAGGCCCCCCACCUCAGUCAAGUUCAUAGGGUUAAAAGAAGGUGAAAACUGUGCCCUAACUCUUGAUCCUCUGUGUAUUUAGGCAAAAGAUUAUCGAGAGUCAUAAUAUUAAGACAUUAGGGUGAUUUAGUUUUAACUGCAAAACAAAGUGUACAAUACUGCAUGUCUCCUUUUUUAAGGGUUGUGCUUGAUUUCAAGUUUUUGGACAAGAAGCUGAUUGUCCCCCCACCCCCACCCUUACUCUGCUCUAUGACUGCAUAUCAGCUAAUCACAUGGAGAAACAGCCAUGAUGAAAAGCAGCGGAGGCCUGACAGCUCCAGAACGAAUUUCCCCAAGGACCCUCCCUCUUAAAAUAACUUACCAUGUCGGCAUCUUUGUGGGUAUGAAAGCACUGUCUCGCCCCACUGCUUGACAUGGAGAGAUGCAACUAAUCAGCUGCAUGCAUAUGAUUAUGACAACCCCGCAAAGAAUGUUCAGAGAGGGGUAACGGGGGUCCGCCCUGGGUGAUGUCACUCUUUCGGUAUGUGGAAGAAACGAUGGCCACAACAGAGACAAGGUACAUGAGUGUCUGCGUUGUUCUUGGACCGCUCCGUCGCCCCCAAGUUCUUAACCACUGAAGGCCAUCGCCCACACGUCGAGAAUGCAGGAGUUUGCUUAAAGGCACUUCAGUUAAACUAAAGGUCUUGGUCCAUGGAAGAUCUUGGGCUCUUGGUCAAAAAGAAAAGACAUUUAUCACAUAGUCCCGGGCCCUUGACUUUCUAUAAUUCUUUUAUGUGGUUUGUUUCUGUUUUUAACAAGGUUUCCAAAGAUCUCAAACUUUUGAAAAUAGAAUAAAAGUUAAGAAAGUGUGAAACUUGGAUUCAACAGAAAAGGUCCCACCUAAACUCUCGACUCCCA